rnacentral:rRNA from 1 species
CCUACGGGAGGCUGCAGUGAGGAAUAUUGGUCAAUGGGCUUACGCCUGAACCAGCCAAGUCGCGUGAGGGAAGACUGCCCUAUGGGUUGUAAACUUCUUUUAUAAAGGAAUAAAACGAGGCACGUGUGCCUUUUUGCAUGUACUUUAUGAAUAAGGAUCGGCUAACUCCGUGCCAGCAGCCGCGGUAAUACGGAGGAUCCGAGCGUUAUCCGGAUUUAUUGGGUUUAAAGGGAGCGUAGAUGGGUUGUUAAGUCAGUUGUGAAAGUUUGCGGCUCAACCGUAAAAUUGCAAUUGAUACUGGCAGUCUUGAGUACAGUUGAGGUAGGCGGAAUUCGUGGUGUAGCGGUGAAAUGCUUAGAUAUCACGAAGAACCCCGAUUGCGAAGGCAGCUUACUAAACUGUGACUGACAUUGAUGCUCGAAAGUGUGGGUAUCAAACAGGAUUAGAUACCCCUGUAGUC